rnacentral:miRNA from 1 species
CGGAGCAACCUUCAUCAUCAAAGC